GUGGGGAAUCUUGCGCAAUGGGCGAAAGCCUGACGCAGCCAUGCCGCGUGAAUGAUGAAGGUCUUAGGAUUGUAAAAUUCUUUCACCGGGGACGAUAAUGACGGUACCCGGAGAAGAAGCCCCGGCUAACUUCGUGCCAGCAGCCGCGGUAAUACGAAGGGGGCUAGCGUUGCUCGGAAUUACUGGGCGUAAAGGGCGCGUAGGCGGACAGUUUAGUCAGAGGUGAAAGCCCAGGGCUCAACCUUGGAAUUGCCUUUGAUACUGGCUGUCUUGAGUACGGGAGAGGUGAGUGGAACUCCUAGUGUAGAGGUGGAAUUCGUAGAUAUUAGGAAGAACACCAGUGGCGAAGGCGGCUCACUGGUCCGGUACUGACGCUGAGGUGCGAAAGCGUGGGGAGCAAACAGGAUUAGAAACCCGGGUAGUCC
rnacentral:rRNA from 1 species